AGCAGAAAUAUAAAAACAGGAUCCAUGUCAUUAAUGUGUCAGAGGAUCCGAGGACACAUGUGAUUGGCCAUGUGUGUUUACUCCCCUCCUAAACCUUUCACCUGCCAGUCAAACCCCUGAGCUCCACCCUCCUCCUCCUCCAUCCCUCCCACCUCCCCUCCUCCUCUCCUCCAGGCCUCCUUCCUGUUGCCAUCUACGUUUGGAGACGCGUCCAAAGCCUUUUAUUCCUCUCCAUCUCGCCAUCUCUCUCUCCACUCUGUCACACCAUCCUGCAGUCCCUCCCAUUGCCCCUUUAAUUGUGUCUUUGCUCCUUCCCCCUGCUCGGUCCCGCUCGGUCCCACUCGGUCCCGCUCGGUGCGUAAAAUGAAUUUCCACUGAGAAAUAUUUCUCGCAGGUCUCACCUCAGCUGGAGAGGAGACGCUUGACGCGACACGCAGCUGAGAGCCGAGUAUUUUGAAGAUGUGGAGGGUGUGUGUGACUGCGUGGUUGUGUGUUGAGGAAAUGAGGGGGGCGUGUGUUGAGUUUUUUGGGAACAGCCCUCACAGUGAAGUCUGGAGCAACAGCUGGAUCAGCAGUCCGUCUGUCUGUCCGUCUGUCCCUCCGCGCAGCGCCGCAGGAUGUUGCAAGAGGGGUCGUCACAUUAGGUCAGUAGUGAAAUGUUCAUGAUGCCUUCACCGCCAUGGGUCGGAUGGACUGCUCUCUGUCUCCUUCUGCUCUGGAAGAGAACGGCAGCUCACAGUGUGGAGGUGCGAUGCUCUGUGGCACCAGUGGGGGCGCUACACCCAGUUCAAGGUCUGCUGGAGAGGUUUGAGGCUGGUCCGGGCUGCGCUGCGAGAGAACGAGGGGACAAAGAAACUCAUGUCAUCGCAGUGGGGAGAGUGACGCACAGCCCCGAGAACAAGGUGACGGUGUUGCUGAAGCCUUUAUCUGCGUCCCCCUCACCUCUCAGAACGCUCCACCUGCUGCUCAGCUCCAAGCUCCCAGUCACCUGGUGGCUAGAGGCUGAGAGACUGCCCCCUGACCUCCCAGUGUUGGUGCAGUUGUCCUCAAACUCCAGCGUGCAGUCCCGCUCCCUGCGUUUGAUCGUCCAAACGGUGCAUUCGCUGCCUUUUCGUCCACACGCGCUGCACCGCUGGGCUCUGAAACACCAUGGCAACCUGUCCUCUCUGACACACUCCACACACGGCAAUCGAGUCUACGUCCCACUGGGAGAGGACCCCACCCUGCCUGUUGUGUGCCAGCUGCAGUCCAUGUUCCUCUCCCACAACUACAUGACCUCUGAGCUGCAGCCACAGGAAGUGCAGGGCUGCACUGACGCACCAGCAGGUGGGAUCAGCCCGGAAGUACAUGUGAUCAAGCUCCAUUCGGCAGGCUCGGGGCUCUGUGGCUCUCUCCAGGUGGAGGUGAUCGUUUCUCUGGUGCCGCUGGUGGCCAACUCAAAGACCCAGGCGGUUGUGCUUAUUCUCAGCAGCUCUGUGCCAGUCAACUGGGCCAUCGUUGCUAGUGGUGUCCAGGGUCAUAUUUCUGUUCAUUCGUCCAACAGUGUGUCCCCACCCUACCCACCUGAGCCUGACCUGACCCUGUCCAGUGCAGUUAACCCCGACCUGUCCACCGUAUCUGACCUUCUUGUGUGGGCCACUGAGAGCGGCUACACCAAGGUGACCUCAUACACUGAGGCUGACCUGGCCAAUCGCUUUGUGAUCCAGCUGGCUGGGGGCGGGACAGACGCGGUUGCAGUGAUGAAUCCUCUGGUUGUGAGGCCUCCCUGGGCUGAGGAGCGCCGGCUGAGGCAGUGGCUGAACGGUGGAGGCAGAGCAGGAGGAGGCCGAGAGAGUUUCACGGUGCAGUGUGAGGACGGACGCCUCAGCGUGACUGUGGACCAACACAUCCUGCAGAGCCUGUCUGUCCCAGUGGCUGCCGUGACUCUACGAGACUCGACAUGCCAGGCUCAGUCCAAUGGGAGUCAUUUCCUGUUGGUGUUCCCAGUCAUUUCCUGUGGGACUGAGGGUCUUCUCCUGGGACAGCCUAGAGGGGUGCAGUACAAAAACAUGGUGUUAUUAUGGAGAGACGAGCCUCACACCAUUCUGGCACGCAAUGAGACGGAAAGGAGGUCCAAAACUCCACUUGGCAUACAUUUCAGCUGUUUGGCUGCAGUCCCCACCCUCCCCAGAUCUGCUGACGAUGAUGAUGAUGACGAUGAUGUAAAAACUCCUCAGGCAGAGCUGAUCCCCUGGGCACCCGAGGGUCCAGUGCCUGAUAGAGGACUGAGCCAACUACUGACACCCAGACACAGAUCUGGGCCUGUUCUUACUUUGAAGCUGUUUGUCACUGAGAGCUACGAGCAGAGGCGGAUUGGCCCCUGUGUCAUAACCGCAGACCACCGUGUCUAUGUUGAGAUUUCAGCCAAAGGCUCCUUCAUAGAUGUCUUGGAGGUGCAGUCAUGUGUGGUCUCUCCUCAGUCAGACCCAAAAAAGUCUCGUUUCUGGACUGUCAUCAGCGACAGCUGUUCCUCAGAUCCCUCACUGGCCCUCGGUGCAAAGACAAAAGAUGAAGAGGAAAAAGAAGAGGUCGGAGAUGAUGGUGAACUGGAAGAGGAAAAGGAAGAGACAGAUGGACCAGAAGAAGGCAGAGAUGGAGAUGGAGAUGUCCGGCUCCGAGGCAAAUUUGACAGAAGGGGGAGAGAAGCGUCAGAAAGGAAAGAACGGAGCAGCAGAAACGUGGGAGCAGAGGAGGAGAUGCAGUCCCUGAGAUUUAGUUUCAUCCUGCGACCUGUUUAUAAUGACUCUAUGCAGUUCCUCCACUGCAGCCUUCGCCUCUGUGUCUCUGAUUUAAAAAGAGAGAAACCCACGAAGGAAACCGUAAAGAAUGACUGUGAGGGUGGGCUACAUAUCCCCCCACUUGUAUCUAGAUCACCCAGACAUCAGUGUGAGAUCAGAAACCUCUCCAGGCCGAUGGUCGUCACCCAGGCUAUAAGCUCCCUGGCACCCAAACUGCUGAGGCCCCCCGCUGGCCAAAGGACCAAGAGACUGAGUGUCUCCCCAGUGGCCAGUCCAGACCCAGAGCACAGCAGCUCUGUGGUGCAGACGGGACCAGUGAUGGGAAUCGUCUUCGCUGCCUUUGUGAUGGGUGUCAGUCUGAUGGGGGGGCUGUGGUGCAUCUAUUAUUACACAGGUGCACGUCCAACAUCACUCAGAGGAGAAAGUCAUUUAACAGACCACACUCAGGAAGGCCACAACAUCUGGAAUCCACCGUCACUGUCUGACCAGUCCUCCAGCUUGGUGUAGAGGCCUACACUAGAAGGAUGCAGUCGAGCACGGAUGCAAAAUACAUCCAUGAGCAGGAGUCACCAUGGAUGCAGGCGUCACGUGCAGGUGCCAGGAUUUCCUGCAAAUCUGAGAACUGGGACAGAGGUUUCUAACAGCUUGUGUGUUGGUGAAAGCACAGCUGCCAUGUUGGUACACUUCUCCUCCAUCAUUCAUCGCCGUGCAGCCGAAAUGCGAGACGACUGAAACCAUGUGAAUACAGUCGCACUUUUUCAUCUCCAUACCAUCAGAUGUUUGAUUCAAAGUGAAACGUUGUUUGUCAGAUGCUGCGGGCCACUCUGCACCAAGUCAUUUCAAGAGUGGCAGCGAGCCGUCGCAUGGAGAGACAUUUAUCUGGAUUCAACAGGAUCUGAGGUUGGUUGGAGUGACUCAGACGGAAACCACAUCAUCAUCUCCCCCUUCAGAGACGGAGCACAAAGAUAAAUUGAGAGGCCUCUGUGUGCGCCUGUGUAAAGAGUCGGUGUGUUUUACAGAGUCAUUUUCACUCUUUGUGUUGUAACUGUGAAUCAGCUGGAAACUGCAUUUAUCUGUAUGUGAAUUCUUUUGUGUUUAUGAUGUAUUAAACAAGCCGAGAUAUGUGUCAACUCGCCGUUUCACUCUCAGAUCACAUGCAACACUAAACCCAAAGAAAACAACAAAGCAAGAAACCGGUGAACACAAAGCUGGCAUACAUGUGUUGUCACAUAUGAGCGUUCAUUGUGAGUCAUGUUUUCGGUCCACCUGAUAAAUAUCCACUGUUGUUUUAGCUUCUGUUUUGUUUUCGCCCCAACAAUUGUGUUCUCACGCCACAAGUUUUAC